GCCUCCGUGGCGCAACUGGAUAGCGCAGCGGGCUUCUAUCCCGAAGGUUGCAGGUUCGAGUCCUGCCGGGGGCGCUA
rnacentral:tRNA from 1 species